rnacentral:snoRNA from 1 species
CUGCAGCUAAUCAGGCCUCUUUUCUCUGUGGAGGCCUGGUGUGCAAUGGCUGCAAAAAGCAGCCACACACACACCAUUGUAAAGCAAUU